CGGGGCGUAGCGCAGUCUGGUAGCGCGACGGUUUUGGGUACCGUAGGCCAGAAGUUCGAAUCUUCUCGCCCCGACCA
rnacentral:tRNA from 1 species